UCCUAAUUGAGAUCUUCAGGCCCAAGCAGAACCCAAGUUAAAGCUGAUUAGAGAACAAGAGACAAGACCCAGGGCCCUGAGUAGAGAGACUGGGAGCUAGGCUAGAAGAUGGUCAUCACGGGAGAAGCAACGCAGUAAACAGAAACUGAGGAGCGGCUUCUCUGCUCUUCUUAAGACUUCUCUCCUGCGCAGGGAGGUCCCGCAGGCACGGACAGAACCCUGCUCCAGCACAUCUACUCCCCUUCGAAGAAGCCAUCACCCACAAAGGAGGCAGCACAGGGAAGGGCUCAAUGUUCAGUUUCCUUUAAUGACCCCCAUUCUCCCCGAAGGGCAGGUGCAGGCGGCUGGGCAAUGGCAAGAGGUG